UUUAAACCUGGUGCUAAUAAAAUGAAACGUGAAGACAGCUCAAUAUAUCUACCAUAUCUACAUCACUGGUAUGAGGGUUGGAGUCAUUGGAGAGAUCCAGGCUUUCGAGCACUAAUAGGCAAUAUUGCUACUCCAGUCUGUUGAUCAUUUUGAUAUUCUUUUAUUCUGUUACAGAACUCCACUGCAUAUCUGUCACUGCUUUACGGGAUACAGAACAUUACAAUAGAGUUAUUCAUCGUUUGACCAAGUUGUUUUCCAUCUAAAGCAAUAGUUAUAAAUAAUUUCCCUCAUAUAUAAAGGCCUGGUACUCAUCAUUUGACCAAGUUGUUUUCCAUCAGAAAGAAAUAGUUAUAAAUAAUUUCUCUCAUAUAUAAAGGCCCGAUCACGACUUCCAGAAUGUUUC